rnacentral:rRNA from 1 species
UACAGGGGGUGCAAACGUUGCUCGGAAUCAUUGGGCGUAAAGCGCACGUAGGCGGUCUGUUAUGUCGGAUGUGAAAGCCCUUGGCUCAACUGAGGAAGUGCAUCCGAAACUGGCAGGCUAGAGUACUAAAGAGGAUCGCGGAAUUCCCGGUGUAGAGGUGAAAUUCGUAGAUAUUCGCAAGAACACCAGUGGCGAAGGCGGCUCACUGGCCCGAUACUGACGCUGAGGCACGAAAGCGUGGGGAGCAAACAGG